ACAUGAAGCUGGAAUCGCUAGUAAUCGCGGAUCAGAAUGCCGCGGUGAAUACGUUCCCGGGUCUUGUACACACCGCCCGUCACACCAUGGGAGUCGGAAAUGCCCGAAGUCUGUGACCUAACCGUAAGGAAGGAGCGGCCGAAGGCAGGGUCGGAUGACUGGGGUGAAGUCGUAACAAGGUAAC
rnacentral:rRNA from 1 species